rnacentral:rRNA from 1 species
GAUGAACGCUGGCGGCGUGCCUAAUACAUGCAAGUCGAGCGAACAGACGAGGAGCUUGCUCCUCUGACGUUAGCGGCGGACGGGUGAGUCACACGUGGAUAACCUACCUAUAAGACUGGGAUAACUUCGGGAAACCGGAGCUAAUACGGGAUAAUAUAUUGAACCGCAUGGUUCAAUAGUGAAAGACGGUUUUGCUGUCACUUAUAGAUGCAUCUACGCCGCUUUAGAUGGUUGGUAAGGUAACGGCUUGCCAAGGCAACGAUGCGUAGGCGACCUGAGAGGGUGAUAGGCCACACUGGAGCGGAGACGCGGUCCAGACUACUACGAGAGGCAGCAGUAGGGAAUCUUCCGCAAUGGGCGAAAGCCUGACGCAGCAACGCCGCGUGAGUGAUGAAGGUCUUCGGAUCGUAAAACUCUGUUAUUAGGGAAGAACAAAUGUGUAAGUAACUAUGCACGUCUUGACGGUACCUAAUCAGAAAGCCACGGCUAACUACGUG